rnacentral:rRNA from 1 species
UACGAGGGGGGCAAAUGUUGUUCGGAAUCACUGGGCGUAAAGGGAGCGUAGGCGGGUGUUUAAGUUAGGUGUUUAAUCCCGGGGCCCAACCCCGGUCAGGCACCUAAAACUGGACAUCUUGAAUAGGGGAGAGGUCAGUGGAAUUGGAGGUGUAGCGGUGGAAUGCGUAGAGAUCUCCAAGAACACCAGUUGCGAAGGCGGCUGACUGGACCCAUAUUGACGCUCAUGUACGAAAGCGUGGGGAGCAAACAGG